GUGCUCAUUUCUGCAGCACAUAUACUAAACUGGAAUGAUACAAGGACAAUGAGCAUGGCCCCUGUACAAAGAUGACAUUCAAAUCCUAAAGCAUUCUUUUUUUUUU
rnacentral:snRNA from 1 species